UGGGGAAUAUUGGACAAUGGGCGAAAGCCUGAUCCAGCAAUGCCGCGUGAGUGAUGAAGGCCUUAGGGUUGUAAAGCUCUUUUACCAGGGAUGAUAAUGACAGUACCUGGAGAAUAAGCUCCGGCUAACUCCGUGCCAGCAGCCGCGGUAAUACGGAGGGAGCUAGCGUUGUUCGGAAUUACUGGGCGUAAAGCGCACGUAGGCGGCCAUUCAAGUCAGAGGUGAAAGCCCGGGGCUCAACCCCGGAACUGCCUUUGAAACUAGAUGGCUUGAAUCUUGGAGAGGCGAGUGGAAUUCCGAGUGUAGAGGUGAAAUUCGUAGAUAUUCGGAAGAACACCAGUGGCGAAGGCGACUCGCUGGACAAGUAUUGACGCUGAGGUGCGAAAGCGUGGGGAGCAAAACAGGAUUAGAUACCCUGGUAGUCCACGCCGUAAGCGAUGAUAACUAGCUGUCCGGGUUCAUGGAACUUGGGUGGCGCAGCUAACGCAUUAAGUUAUCCGCCUGGGGAGUACGGUCGCAAGAUUAAAACUCAAAUGAAUUGACGGGGUCAUAGCUGUUUCCU
rnacentral:rRNA from 1 species